rnacentral:rRNA from 1 species
AACCAGUACCGUGAGGGAAAGGCGAAAAGAACCCCGGCGAGGGGAGUGAAAAAGAACCUGAAACCGUGUACGUACAAGCAGUGGGAGCACGCUUAGGCGUGUGACUGCGUACCUUUUGUAUAAUGGGUCAGCGACUUAUAUUCUGUAGCAAGGUUAACCGAAUAGGGGAGCCGAAGGGAAACCGAGUCUUAACUGGGCGUUAAGUUGCAGGGUAUAGACCCGAAACCCGGUGAUCUAGCCAUGGGCAGGUUGAAGGUUGGGUAACACUAACUGGAGGACCGAACCGACUAAUGUUGAAAAAUUAGCGGAUGACUUGUGGCUGGGGGUGAAAGGCCAAUCAAACCGGGAGAUAGCUGGUUCUCCCCGAAAGCUAUUUAGGUAGCGCCUCGUGAAUUCAUCUCCGGGGGUAGAGCACUGUUUCGGCAAGGGGGUCAUCCCGACUUACCAACCCGAUGCAAACUGCGAAUACCGGAGAAUGUUAUCACGGGAGACACACGGCGGGUGCUAACGUCCGUCGUGAAGAGGGAAACAACCCAGACCGCCAGCUAAGGUCCCAAAGUCAUGGUUAAGUGGGAAACGAUGUGGGAAGGCCCAGACAGCCAGGAUGUUGGCUUAGAAGCAGCCAUCAUUUAAAGAAAGCGUAAUAGCUCACUGGUCGAGUCGGCCUGCGCGGAAGAUGUAACGGGGCUAAACCAUG